rnacentral:rRNA from 1 species
UACGUAGGGGGCAAGCGUUGUCCGGAUUUAUUGGGCGUAAAGAGCGUGUAGGCGGUUUGGUAGGUCCGUUGUGAAAACUCGAGGCUCAACCUCGAGACGCCGAUGGAAACCAUCAGACUAGAGUCCGGUAGAGGAGAGUGGAAUUCCUGGUGUAGCGGUGAAAUGCGCAGAUAUCAGGAAGAACACCAGUGGCGAAGGCGGCCAACUGGUCCGGUACUGACGCUGAGGUGCGAAAGCGUGGGGAGCAAACAGG